rnacentral:rRNA from 1 species
AUGAACGCUGGCGGCGUGCCUAAUACCUGCAAGUCGAGCGAACAGACGAGGAGCUUGCUCCUUCGACGUUAGCGGCGGACGGGUGAGUAACACGUAGGUAACCUACCUAUAAGACUGGGAUAACUUCGGGAAACCGGAGCUAAUACCGGAUAAUAUUUCGAACCGCAUGGUUCGAUAGUGAAAGAUGGCUUUGCUAUCACUUAUAGAUGGACCUGCGCCGUAUUAGCUAGUUGGUAAGGUAACGGCUUACCAAGGCAACGAUACGUAGCCGACCUGAGAGGGUGAUCGGCCACACUGGAACUGAGACACGGUCCAGGCUCCUACGGGAGGCAGCAGUAGGGAAUCUUCCGCAAUGGGCGAAAGCCUGACGGAGCAACGCCGCGUGAGUGAUGAAGGUCUUCGGAUCGCAAAACUCUGUUAUUAGGGAAGAACAAACGUGUAAGUAACUGUGCACGUCUUGACGGUACCUAAUCAGAAAGCCACGGCUAACUACGUG